rnacentral:rRNA from 1 species
UACGUAGGGGGCAAGCGUUGUCCGGGAUUACUGGGCGUAAAGCGCGCGUAGGCGGCUUGGUAAGUCGGUUGUGGAAGCCCCGGGCUCAACCCGGGAAUGGCGACCGAAACUGCUAGGCUAGAGUGCGGUAGGGGGUGCUGGAAUUCCUGGUGUAGCGGUGAAAUGCAUAGAUAUCAGGAGGAACACCGGUGGCGAAGGCGGGCACCUGGGCCGCCACUGACGCUGAGGCGCGAAAGCUAGGGGAGCAAACCGG